CCAAGUCGUUUCAGUCGUUUAGGUUCCGCUCCUAACAUUUUUCUUAUUUUAUGAUAGAAAAAGCGAUUUUUCUGUGCACUAUUUCAGUUUAUUCUGUUCCUUAAGGUCUGCUUAAUCUCCUGAAAAUGAGUGUUAUUAACAAUGCACAUCUGUCUUGCAAAGACCACCUAAAAGACGAGACCUGCAGUGCGAUUCUGUAAACAUAUUUCCUGUCUAGUGACUCAUCAAUCGUAUACAAAUAACAUAGGCUAGGCAAGAAAUUUCUUGCUACGGAGCCUACUCAGAAUCCCACAGCUGGGUCACCACAUAUAAUUCUGAUGUUUCUCUAUUAUUCUUGGCUAUACGAGAUUGGUUUUACAUUAUCCAGAUAAAAAUUUCGUACAGCAAAUCAAUGGAUGUAUACAGUUUCAGGGUAGUACAUUUAUCCUUUCCAACAAUGGCAUCAGGACUUAUAAGUAUAUCUAAACUUUUAUUUGUUUUGGGUAAAUCUAUUUAUACUGGUAUUUAACGUUGGUCUGUGGAUUUCAUGAUAUCUAAAUUUAAUUAAUUAGGAAAGACUUACAAUAGGUCUCUGAGUUACAUUUUUAUGGUUUCUUAUUGCCACAGAAAAAAAUUCUUACUAUCUAUUUUUAGUUUUGGCUUUUGGCCAAAUUUGGCCAAGUCAAUUUCUGGCUUUUGGCCUUUUUUUUUGGUAUAGUAGCAUCCACUUAGAACUUUACUUGAUGGCGUACAUCAUGAUGUUUUUUGUUAUUUUUUGAUUGUUAUUUUUUUGGAUUACUUUCUUUUCUCUAUAAUAGCUGGCAUCCCAUAUUUUCUUGAUUGUGGAAAUAAUAUCAUUUAUUAUUUCUCUAACAUAUUUCAUUAACUCUAUUUCUUAGUUUUUAUUUCUUUGGUGAAAUAUACCAUCUACAGAAUUUUAGUUUUGAUGGAUUUAUUUUCAUGUCAUUUUUCACAAAUCAUAUGCCAUGAAUUGCUAUAAUUUUACGCAUUCUGUUGGUUUGGUUUGCCUGUAUUUAAAUAUAAAAAAUUCAAAAUGAGGACUAAUUCCCAAUCGAUCCCUGGCGCAUUCGCCAUUUAGUUAAAAUACCUGUUUCAGCCACAGAUUGUCACUUCUGGAUUUUCUAUCAAUUUUCCUAUGAAUUUUCCUGAUUAACAUCGACUCCAGAGUAUCAUAGCUAGCCUCCCCUAAGAAGAGGAGACCCGGGUCACCCCUCUAACCUGGGUUCUCUAAUGUAUUUUAUUUCUUUUGUCAAUAUAUAGUUGUUAUUUUAGAUUAUUUUCAAUCACUUUUUUCAAUUGAUCAUACAAAUCCAUUUAAAAUUGAGUUUUUGGAUGGGAUAUUGUACUGCUUUGGAACAGCUGCUCUUCAACCACCCUUUUCAAGCUUCAAGAUGCCAUUAGGCUGAUUAAAUUCAACAUUCAACAGUGGAAUGUGGAAAUUCAUCAUUGAAGAAGAACUAAAUAACUUUAGAUUUUGUACAAUAAAUUGAUGGAUGUAUAUACAGUUCCAGGGCAGUACAUUUAUCCAUUUGAUGAAUAUUACCAACGAUGGUAUCAAGACAGCUGUACCUUAAUUCAACCAAUUUAACAUUCAACAGUGGAAUAAGGAUGAAAUUCAUUAUUGAAGAGGAAACUAAAUAAUUUUAGAACCAAGACUUUUCAGAAGGGUAGCCAGAAGAUUUAUUUACCUCAACAUAUAGACAAAAGCAUGUCCAUCAGCCACCUUGGAUUUUAAUAUACAUUUUAUAUUACUAUUGUUAAUACAAAC
rnacentral:lncRNA from 1 species